ACAGGCUGACCUCCUACAUAAGCAAUUUCUUCCCUGGCUUCCAGGACUCUAGGCUCUUCUAGCCUGCGUCUUCCUCACUGGUCACUCUUUCUUGGACUAGUCUUGGCUAAGUUUCUGACCUCUUCACAUUGAAAUGCUUCAAAUAAUAUCUAUACCCCAAGACUCAAAAAUGUAUCUCUAGCUCAGUACUCUUCCUCACACUUCAGACUUGCACAUCCAGCUGCUGCUCUGCAAUCCGUGUCUGACGGGCACUUCGGGCUUAACAUAACCACUGCUGACCUUCCCCAAUACCAGCACGGUUUGCUCCUGCGACCCUUUUGAAUGCGUGUUUGCUAUGAGGUGCCAUGGAGUCUUCCAACUGUGGAUACUGAGCAGGCAACUGGGUGUGAGACCUGGAGCUGCAGUGGUCCAGGGUGGAGAUAUGAAGCUGGGAGCUGUCUACAUACACGUGUCAUGAAAUGAUGUGGAGCUCCAGGUGUGGAAGAAGGUAAUGAGAAGAACAGAAUCACAAACAAAGCCUCGAAGAACAAGGUGUUGAAAGAAAGCCUUCAGAGACCGAGAUGGAACCAUUCAAAGAUGUAAGAGGAAAUCCAGGCGUGCAGUGUAGCAGAGUCCAAAGAAGGAAAGAGUGGUCACCUGUGCUGAAAACUAUGGGGACAUCAAGAUGAGCUCUGAAGAUGGUCCACUGGAUUCAGUAGUCAGUGGAGACCUCCACAAAAACAGUCCAGAUGAAGGACAGUAGCAGAAGCCAGGUCUCAGAGCUGCCAGUGCAAAUGAAGACGUGGAGAUGAUAGCUACUGAGAGGAGUAAAGACAUGGGAAGUUGCAGAGGGAAAUGUCGGGUGACAGGCAAGAGGAAUUUAAAGUGGACAUGACUGCUAAUCAAAUGAUGCAAAAAAGGGAACAGGCUGAUGACAAAGUAGCAGGGACAAGCAAAGGCACUCAGUCCUUAAAAAAGGGCCUGUGGUUGUUGGAGCAACAUUUAUUGGUCUACAGGAGGGAAGACUGGUUCAGAUACCCAUAGACCCAGAUCAAGUUCAUCAAUUUAAAAUGCUGCAAAUCCUUCUACAUACGAACAGAGCCAGGAACCCAUGCUCCCCUGAAGGCCCAGGCUUCGUCUCUGGUGCAUGCUAACUGGCCCCUUCUCACCUCACUAUCCCACUUCCAACAAACCUGGAAUGAUGCUUUCAAGAGCAAUCAAUGCCUCUUGCUCUCAUCAAGAUCCUACAGGAAAAUCCCAAAACUAAAAUAUCUGAAGAGAAUUUAGGAGUGCCAGGCCAUCUGAGAAGCAAGCAUAUGAAUGAGCACAGAGACAUACACCUUUUGGUUCUCUGUAUCAGUGAUGAAGAUUCAGAAAUACUUUACCGGGUAGGGCCUGCAGCUCCCUUUCUGUGUUAAGCUUUGCAGAGGUGGCCCUGUCAUAGCCAAAGGCCACAUUUUAAAUUCUUAGACUUUUUAUUUUUCCCACUGAGUAAGUUUUUUGCUGGUAAACCGGGCUUGGCUUCGGUACCAACUGAUGAUUCAAAGGCUAAAGGCGAAAACUCACAAUAUUUAUAAAAUUACACAGAUAAAAAAGGAGCAUGCUUCAGCUGAUUUCUCAAAAAACUAUUAACCAAAUAAGGACUGGCUUAUUGACACCAAUGGAACGUUUAGGCCCAGAAGUGGCUGAGAGCCCCUCCUCGUCCCAGUAUCUCCACCCACUAUCUGAGCCAGCCUUGCUUUGGCUCUGGCUCUGGCUCUGGCUCCAAGCACAGGAGAGAAGCUCUGACCCCAAGUCCCCGGGGCAGGAACAGCUUCUUCACUGCCACUCUUCCUACGAAGGCCAGAUAGUGUAAUUGCAAACCAGUUUUGUCUGGCAAAUAAUUUCUCCAGUAAGUAAAUCCGUAACACAACUAAUGUAACCUGAAAUCUCUUUGAUUUCUCGGGUUUUUCAAGGGUUAUACCUGGAUUCUCUUCCAUGAUGUUGAGGGCCUCAAUUGCUGCAGCAGCUAACAGGGGAGGUAACGAAGCUGAAAAGCAGUAUCCCUGGCCGGAAAGUCGCUGAGAAGAAACAAAUCAGUUGAAGACACAUAUAUACAUUCUCUGCCCUUUCUAGCAUCUGUUUGAAUCGGGAUCCAAAUAAAGUCCACACAUUCCGCUCUCUACUCUCAGGCGCUUGUGAGUAUUUCCUCAGUGACAACUGCUAGAAGCAUUCAGAAAACUACAACAGUGAAGUUCGAGUUUUUUCCUUCAUAAACAUUUUCAUGCCUUAAAAAAGGCUGUUGUGUACUGCUAAAUUUGCUUGAAUUACACUUCCAUUUAUUCCAUUUAUCUCCUCGGUGCAUGUAACUGCUGAAUGUCAGUCUGCCUUGGAGGAGGUGCUUAUAUCCAGCCUCUCAGGAUAUUCACUCUGCUCUACAUUUUUCUCUGGGACUACAUAGUAGUGGGACGUAGAUAAUCCAAGGCAAUUUAUGUUUUAUAUUUCAACUCUGUAACAUAGGUUGCACAGCUCUUAUGCGCAUGUUUUGGAGAAAAAGCUUUCUGUAACUCUUCCCUUGGUGGUUGGUAAGACAGCUGUUGAAGACUGGCUGACUUCCUCUGCCCUGAGGCUCCAGGAGCAAAACCCACUCACUAGGCACUGUGGGCAGUCUGGGUCCAUUUCCCUCAGAAAAGGAAACAUGACACCUCACUCUGUUUGGGACUUUAAGAGGUUUUGCUGAAUGCAUGCCAGUGCUGUUUCUGACACACACACACACACACUGACACAUGCACACACUGACACAGACACACACACACACACACAUAACUGUAUCUACCUCCCACAAACAUAUUAUAUAGAAUACAGAUUUUUAAAUACUAGAAACAGUACUGUUUCUCUGCUGUCAUGAAUACUUCUGAAAAGACUACUCAGGAAAUUCUUGAUGAUUUUAAGAAAUAAUUGGAAGGCAACAUUUAACCAUUUCUAGAGAAGAGACACUAAAGGCCAAUUCAAAUGCAAUUUUGCAAACACAGCACAAACCCUGACUACCCACUCUGAGUUAAUAAGUUCAGAAGGAAGAUGGGGUUCCCUCUUCUGGCUGACUAGACCCAUCCUGGGCUCACUGAGGUGACAGACACCAAAGUUUCGUGACCCUUCAAACUGGUAAGGAGUGCUGUCUUGUGCCUAUAAAAAUAUAUGCCUCGCAGAAUGGAACUACAUGUCUCCCAUAAGAGGCGAAACGUUCCUAAAAAGGGGAACUUACAUUGAUUCCAUAGUGUUCAGUGACUCCUCCGCCAUGCUCUCCUAGGACUCCAAACGAAAGGCUUUCCUCCAGGAAGAUUCUUGCUUUGUAUUUGUAUUUUAACUUAACCUAAGUGUUAUAUAAAGGUUAGGAUACUAAUGAUUAGCAUCAUA